AGCGAACGCUGGCGGCAGGCUUAACACAUGCAAGUCGAACGGGCUUCUUCGGAAGUCAGUGGCAGACGGGUGAGUAACACGUGGGAACGUGCCCUUCGGUUCGGAAUAACUCAGGGAAACUUGAGCUAAUACCGGAUACGCCCUUUUGGGGAAAGGUUGACUGCCGAAGGAUCGGCCCGCGUCUGAUUAGCUUGUUGGUGGGGUAACGGCCUACCAAGGCGACGAUCAGUAGCUGGUCUGAGAGGAUGAUCAGCCACACUGGGACUGAGACACGGCCCAGACUCCUACGGGAGGCAGCAGUGGGGAAUAUUGGACAAUGGGCGCAAGCCUGAUCCAGCCAUGCCGCGUGAGUGAUGAAGGCCUUAGGGUUGUAAAGCUCUUUUGUCCGGGACGAUAAUGACGGUACCGGAAGAAUAAGCCCCGGCCAACUUCGUG
rnacentral:rRNA from 1 species